rnacentral:tRNA from 1 species
GCCCUAGUAGUAUAACUAUUACCAUGGUCUUGUAAACCAUAAAUGAAACACAACCGUUUCCUAAGGCA